rnacentral:rRNA from 1 species
GACGAACGCUGGCGGCGUGCUUAACACAUGCAAGUCGAACGGUGAAGGGGCCUGCUUUUGUGGGCCCUGGAUGAGUGGCGAACGGGUGAGUAACACGUGAGUAACCUGCCCCCUUCUUCUGGAUAACCGCAUGAAAGUGUGGCUAAUACGGGAUAUUCUGGGUCUGUCGCAUGAUGGGUCUGGGAAAGAUUGCGCCUUUGGGUGUUUUUGGUGGGGGAUGGGCUCGCGGCCUAUCAGCUUGUUGGUGGGGUGAUGGCCUACCAAGGCGGUGACGGGUAGCCGGACUGAGAGGGUGGACGGUCACACUGGGACUGAGACACGGCCCAGACUCCUACGGGAGGCGGCAGUGGGGAAUAUUGCACAAUGGGCGCAAGCCUGAUGCAGCGACGCCGCGUGAGGGAUGGAGGCCUUCGGGUUGUAAACCUCUUUCGCCAGUGAAGCAGGCCUGCUCCUUGUGGGUGGGUUGACGGUAGCUGGAUAAGAAGCGCCGGCUAACUACGUG